CGUAUCUAUCGACAUUGGCGUAACGAAGUCAAAUUUUUUUCUGAGCCUAGAGUUUUAUUCUACGUACCUACCGACGAACCCGUGACAUCCAUUUGCUAUACAAUUACUCCACAUGAAGAUUUAACACUGUAUUUUAACACUUUUUUAAAAAUUACCAUAUAACUUAGCAUAAUAUAUGUAAAUCUCCUAUAAAAGUCAAAGGCGGCCGCUUCUCUAUUACCCUCUUUGCCACGUCAUUGUACACCUUUUUUUUUUUUCGUCAAUUAGGAAAAAAACGUUUUUCAUGAUUGCGAUCCGUAAACGCACAAGUUAGGUUUUUUCGAAAUUUAUAUGUUAAUAUACGAAUUUGGCCUGCAGUAUAGUGACUUGUCUAUUAAGCACGUAAUAUUUCAUUUUAUUGGUGCAUAAUAAGCCUCUAUCACCUCGUUGUGUUGGAUAAUUAAUCACAAUAUUAGUAUUGUACCUGUGAAUGUUUUGAAUUUCACUCAGCCAUUCUUGUUAAACAAUGAUCUGUGGGUAAGUAAAUUAAAUUAUUUGUAACAAAUAAUCUAAAAUAAAAAACACAUUACAAUAAUCAAAGUUUCUCCAUUAAUAAGACCAAUGCGAACAAAAUUGUAUUCGGUAGAUACAUCUAGUAAUUUUGCCUUGUUCGUUGUUUCUCACAAAAUUAUACAUCAUUUGAACGUAGAAAUGCUAUACUUAAUAUAUCACAAAACUGUAUUUUAAACCUCAGAAAUAGGACAUAUUUAUGUUUUACGCACAGUGUCUAGCAUCACUUUUUAUUUACUACUUAGACACUAUUAUUAUUAGUUCUCAAUAAUAAUUAUGGUAGUACAAUGUUUAGUUUACACAUAGCAUAAUAUAACAGUUAUAAUCUUGUAUUCAAAUCUUGUAAUCUUGUAUUCAAAACUAUUUUACAAAAAUAUUAUGUUUCUGUGUGUUUCUGUGUGUGCGACUGUUAAUUUUAAAUUUUUUAUCUAGUUACCUAUUGAAAAACUACUAUUACUUGAUGAAAGUAAAUUUCUAUGUGACACUGGUACAUAGUAAAAUGGAUAAAAAAUUUCAUCCACCAUCUAUGAUGAGAAGAGAUAAUCCUAAUGCUAUUGAAUAUAAAUAUAAAAUAUCUAUCUAAUAUAAAAAAAAUUUGGUGCUUAGAAGCCAUACAAUUUAAGUUUGCUAUUCAAUUGCAUAAUAAAGAGUGUAAGGAUUAUUCUGAAACCAUUAUUCAAUAUUACCAGAGAGAUCCUGAAGAUCAUAUAUCAUUAGUAGGUGCUUUAUUGGAUUAAUCAAAUAAAAAAAAAAUCUGGGAAAGUUCAACCAACAUUAGUUUUAAGUAAUUUUUAUAUUUUUAUUGUCAUUGAUUUAUAUUUAAAUUUUUUUUUUUUUUGUUUUCUAGUAAUGAAGAUCAUGGUACAAAAUAGUAGUCAAAAAGAGGAUAAAAGCAAUUUAAAAUAAAAUUUGAAAAAUUAGAAAAC